GCCCGGCUAGCUCAAUCGGUAGAGCGUGAGACUCUUAAUCUCAAGGUUGCGGGUGAGUUCCACAUUUGUGUG